UGGGGAAUUUUGGACAAUGGGGGAAACCCUGAUCCAGCCAUCCCGCGUGUGCGAUGAAGGCCUUCGGGUUGUAAAGCACUUUUGGCAGGAAAGAAACGUCGCGGGUUAAUACCCCGCGAAACUGACGGUACCUGCAGAAUAAGCACCGGCUAACUACGUGCCAGCAGCCGCGGUAAUACGUAGGGUGCAAGCGUUAAUCGGAAUUACUGGGCGUAAAGCGUGCGCAGGCGGUUCGGAAAGAAAGAUGUGAAAUCCCAGAGCUUAACUUUGGAACUGCAUUUUUAACUACCGGGCUAGAGUGUGUCAGAGGGAGGUGGAAUUCCGCGUGUAGCAGUGAAAUGCGUAGAUAUGCGGAGGAACACCGAUGGCGAAGGCAGCCUCCUGGGAUAACACUGACGCUCAUGCACGAAAGCGUGGGGAGCAAACAGGAUUAGAUACCCUGGUAGUCCACGCCCUAAAACGAUGUCAACUAGCUGUUGGGGGCCUUUCGGGCCUUGGUAGCGCAGCUAACGCGUGAAGUUGACCGCCUGGGGAGUACGGUC
rnacentral:rRNA from 1 species